rnacentral:rRNA from 1 species
GACGAACGCUGGCGGCGUGCCUAAUACUUGCAAGUAGAACGCUGAAGGAGGAGCUUGCUUCUCUGGAUGAGUUGCGAACGGGUGAGUAACGCGUAGGUAACCUGCCUGGUAGUGGGGGAUAACUAUUGGAAACGAUAGCUAAUACCGCAUAAUAGCAGUUGUUGCAUGAUAACUGUUUGAAAGGUGCAAUUGCACCGCUACCAGAUGGACCUGCGUUGUAUUAGCUAGUUGGUGGGGUAACGGCUCACCAAGGCGACGAUACAUAGCCGACCUGAGAGGGUGAUCGGCCACACUGGGACUGAGACACGGCCCAGACUCCUACGGGAGGCAGCAGUAGGGAAUCUUCGGCAAUGGACGGAAGUCUGACCGAGCAACGCCGCGUGAGUGAAGAAGGUUUUCGGAUCGUAAAGCUCUGUUGUAAGAGAAGAACGAGUGUGAGAGUGGAAAGUUCACACUGUGACGGUAUCUUACCAGAAAGGGACGGCUAACUACGUG